UGAGGAAUCUUGGACAAUGGGGGCAACCCUGAUCCAGCGACGCCGCGUGAAGGACGAAGGUCUUCGGAUUGUAAACUUCUUUUCUCUGGGAAUAAGAAAGCCCCAGAAAUGGGGAUAGUGAAUGUACUAGAGGAAUAAGCCAUGGCCAACUCCGUGCCAGCAGCCGCGGUAAUACGGGGAUGGCGAGCGUUACUCGGAUUUACUGGGUGUAAAGGACAGGCAGGCGGCUUUGCAAGUUGAAGGUUAAAUCCUCUGACUCAAUCAGAGACAUGCCUUCAAAACUACAUUGCUUGAGGAUUUGGGAGGAGAGCGGAAUUCCCGGUGUAAGGGUGAAAUCUGUAGAUAUCGGGAGGAACACCUGUGGCGAAAGCGGCUCUCUGGCAAAUCCCUGACGCUGAACUGGGAAAGCUAGGGGAGCAAACA
rnacentral:rRNA from 1 species